rnacentral:rRNA from 1 species
GAUGAACGCUAGCUACAGGCUUAACACAUGCAAGUCGAGGGGCAGCAUGGUCUUAGCUUGCUAAGGCCGAUGGCGACCGGCGCACGGGUGAGUAACACGUAUCCAACCUGCCGUCUACUCUUGGACAGCCUUCUGAAAGGAAGAUUAAUACAAGAUGGCAUCAUGAGUCCGCAUGUUCACAUGAUUAAAGGUAUUCCGGUAGACGAUGGGGAUGCGUUCCAUUAGAUAGUAGGCGGGGUAACGGCCCACCUAGUCUUCGAUGGAUAGGGGUUCUGAGAGGAAGGUCCCCCACAUUGGAACUGAGACACGGUCCAAACUCCUACGGGAGGCAGCAGUGAGGAAUAUUGGUCAAUGGGCGAGAGCCUGAACCAGCCAAGUAGCGUGAAGGACGACUGCCCUAUGGGUUGUAAACUUCUUUUAUAAAGGAAUAAAGUCGGGUAUGGAUACCCGUUUGCAUGUACUUUAUGAAUAAGGAUCGGCUAACUCCGUG